UACGUAGGUCCCGAGCGUUGUCCGGAUUUAUUGGGCGUAAAGCGAGCGCAGGUGGUUUAUUAAGUCUGGUGUAAAAGGCAGUGGCUCAACCAUUGUAUGCAUUGGAAACUGGUAGACUUGAGUGCAGGAAAGGAGAGUGGAAUUCCAUGUGUAGCGGUGAAAUGCGUAGAUAUAUGGAGGAACACCGGUGGCGAAAGCGGCUCUCUGGCCUGUAACUGACACUGAGACUCGAAAGCGUGGGGAGCAAACAGG
rnacentral:rRNA from 1 species